AGCGAACGCUGGCGGCAGGCUUAACACAUGCAAGUCGAACGGGCAUCUUCGGAUGUCAGUGGCAGACGGGUGAGUAACACGUGGGAACGUACCCUUCGGUUCGGAAUAAUUCAGGGAAACUUGAGCUAAUACCGGAUACGCCUUUUUGGGGAAAGGUUUACUGCCGAAGGAUCGGCCCGCGGCUGAUUAGCUUGUUGGUGGGGUAACGGCCUACCAAGGCGACGAUCAGUAGCUGGUCUGAGAGGAUGAUCAGCCACACUGGGACUGAGACACGGCCCAGACUCCUACGGGAGGCAGCAGUGGGGAAUAUUGGACAAUGGGCGCAAGCCUGAUCCAGCCAUGCCGCGUGAGUGAUGAAGGCCUUAGGGUUGUAAAGCUCUUUUGUCCGGGACGAUAAUGACGGUACCGGAAGAAUAAGCCCCGGCUAACUUCGUG
rnacentral:rRNA from 1 species